rnacentral:rRNA from 1 species
AUUGAACGCUGGCGGCAUGCCUUACACAUGCAAGUCGAACGGCAGCGGGCCUUCGGGUGCCGGCGAGUGGCGAACGGGUGAGUAAUGCAUCGGAACGUGCCAUUGAGUGGGGGAUAACGUAGCGAAAGUUACGCUAAUACCGCAUAUUCUGUGAGCAGGAAAGCAGGGGACCGCAAGGCCUUGCGCUCUUUGAGCGGCCGAUGUCAGAUUAGCUAGUUGGUGAGGUAAAGGCUUACCAAGGCGACGAUCUGUAGCGGGUCUGAGAGGAUGAUCCGCCACACUGGAACUGAGACACGGUCCAGACUCCUACGGGAGGCAGCAGUGGGGAAUUUUGGACAAUGGGCGCAAGCCUGAUCCAGCCAUGCCGCGUGAGUGAAGAAGGCCUCG